UCUCCGUUGGUGAACCAGCGGAGGGAUCAUUACCGAGUUUACAACUCCCAAACCCCUGUGAACAUACCUUACUGUUGCCUCGGCGGAUCAGCCCGCUCCCGGUAAAACGGGACGGCCCGCCAGAGGACCCCUAAACUCUGUUUUUAGUGUAACUUCUGAGUAAAACAAACAAAUAAAUCAAAACUUUCAACAACGGAUCUCUUGGUUCUG
rnacentral:misc_RNA from 1 species